GGCUCCAGGACCGCAUCCACGCUGUCAGCCGCCACUCUGGCCUCUCUGGCCGGGGCUUCAUCCCGCAGAGGAAGCUGCGACACGUCCGUUUCCCUGGAGACGGAGGCGUCACUCAGAGAGAUGAAGGACUCGCUGGUGGAGGCAGAGGAGCGGUACCGGCGAGCGAUGGUGUCCAACGCUCAGCUGCACAACGACAAGACCAUGCUGAUGUACCAGGUGGAGACGCUGCGGGAGGAGCUCAGCGACACCGAGGAGCUGCUGUGGGAGGCCCGACGGCACCGCGACGACACCAGCAAGGAGCUGGAAAGAGAGCGGCACUCUCACAGCGUUCUGAAGCUCCAGUUCAGGGACCUGGAGGACAUGCUGAGGCAGACCGAGGACCUGCUGACGGAAGUGUCGGAUUUGCGCCAGAAGAACAGUGCUCACUGUCAGGAGGUCUCUGACCUGCAGGAGGCGCUGCAGUGGAAGGAGAAGAAGAUCGGGGCGUUAGAACGGCAGAGAGAGGUUUCUGACAUCAUCCGGAUCGAGCGUGACCGGCUCAGAGGCGAGGUUGUUCAUCUCUCUGAAAAUAAUCAACAAGGAACGCCGCGGUCCAGGAGGAGCGGUCUCUGGAGAACGGGCUGGAUUCCCACGUCCUGGAACUGCAGCGUGAGUUUCUGUCCUCCUGACGUUCUCAGAGGUUUGGCAGAUGGAGAUGUUUUUGGCUUGGCUCUGAUUCUUUCAGGAGAGGCCAAUCGCCAAAUCAGUGAGCUGAAGUUCAAACUAGUGAAGGCGGAGCAGGAGGUCACGGCUCUAGAACAGAACGUGAUCCGCCUGGAUGGUCAGGUGACCCGAUAUAAGACGGCAUCUGAGGCUGCAGAGAAGAUAGAAGACAGUCUGAAGGUGGAAAAGAGGAAACUGCAGAGGGAGCUCCGCUCGGCUCUGGACCGCAUAGGUGAGCUGGAGGCCGCCAACAAACACCUGAGCAAGCGCCUGGAGAAAAUGAAGGCCAGUCGGACGGCUCUGCUGGCCCAGCAGUGACCCCGCAGUGGUCCGUGAGCCCCCGCCAGCAACGGAGCCGACCAACCGGCGGAUCCACGGUAGAGGACGGCUUUACCUGCAUCAGCAUCUGUGCCGGAACAAAGACUUUCAGAUGGGCUUCAUCCAGGACUUGAUGGACCACGAAGCAGCUGGAUCCUGGACCCAGGAAUCCUGGACCCAGGAUCCAGCUGCUCAUCCUCCUCAACCAGAACUCUGGAUCUCUGCUGUGCUUCACGUGUGCUUUGGUUUCCUCUCAGGAACAGCGACCUUCAGUCUGUGCUGCAGGAGAAAGCUGCUGGAACACCCUGACCUGGAUUGUAUGCAUGUGCGUGUGCACGUGUGUUUUGGGGGUUCGUUUGGAUCUGUGUCAAAAACCAAAACCUUUUGGUGUUCAAGGUUUUUGAUAAAUUAUUGUUACUCAACGGACUCAGCUGAAGUCAUGUGACUUCUUCACCUGAACACUGACGGUCGAACAGGAUGGUUUAGGUCUGACAGAACAUCACCCUUCUGUGAUCCGCUGCCCCCUACAGGCCAGACCGUCCUUCACUCUGGUCCAGGAACGAACACAUUCAGGCUGGAGCCGCUCCCCCCCCCCUCACACACACACACACUCUCCGCUCAAACGGGUCACAAGGUGACAGAACAAAACCAGAACCUGUGUCGUGAACUGGACCCUUUUCAUCAUCUGAGAUGUCAUUGAUUGUAGAUCAGAUAUAUAGUUAUCAGAGGUCAGCGGAUCCAAAACCAAACCCGGGACAGGUGAGACUGCUGCCCCGCCUACUAUAGCCAAGUGGGCGGGGCAGCAGUCUCACCACAGAACAAGGACAGACCUAUAGUAAAGAACUUUCUCAGAACUGUGUUUAGUUUCCAGCAAGCUGAUCAAUCUCAUUGAUUGGAACUCCAAGGAUCCACCCCGAUGUCAGUUCUUGAUGAUCAGAAGAUGUUCUGCUCCAGGAACCAUGGAGAAUCCAUGAAGGUUCCUGCUGGUUUUCUUUGGAACCUACAAUAAAAAACGCAUGUGUCUCUGAGGAACA
ensembl:lncRNA